rnacentral:ncRNA from 2 species
UUCUUAUCAAGAGAAGCGGAGGGAACUGGCCCUGUGAAGCUUCAGCAACCAGCCGGAAAUCGGCCAGGUGCUAAAUCCAGCGAAUUGAGUAUUCAAUUCGGCAGAUAAGAA